AUGGUAAAGUUGAAGUUCCGCAUGGUCUCCUUGGGUACCAUUAUACCUUUCCUGGAUCCCUGUCACCGCCCUCGACAUGAAGGAUGCAUAUUUCCACAUAGCAAUCCAUCCGGCACACAGAUGCUUCCUCUGCUUUGUGGUCAACCGCGAACACUACCAGUUCACGGUCCUUCUGGUUGGCCUUUCCACAGCCCCCCGGGUGUUCACCAACUGUUUGGCAGUCGUGGCAGCCUCCCUUCGUCAGAGACGGAUACAGGUAUACCUGUAUCUCGACGACUGGCUCAUCCAAGGUCGCAGCAAAGAACAGGUGCAAUCCCACGUUCAAGUGGUCACGGACAUGUUUUCUCAAUUAGGUCUUCUCAUCAAUGCAGCGAAGUCGACUCUAGAACCAACCCAGAGAAUAGAAUUCAUCAGGGGCAUCCUAGAUUCCGUGCGUGCCUCAGCCCUCCUGCCGGACGCUCAUUUCCACGCUCUGACGGGCCUCAUCUGGAGCCUUCAAAGCUUCCCAACCUCGACGCCAAGAACAUGCCUGAGUCUCCUGGUCAUAUGGCUUCCUGCACAUACGUGACCAGACAUGCCAGACUUCGGCUACGACCGCUGCAGGCCUGGCUGGCAUCUGUCUACCGCCCAGGUCAAGACAGCCUGAACCUGGUGGUCACUGUUCCAGAAGGGGUCCUGGCCUCCCUCCAAUGGUGGCUAGACCCAAGGGUGGCAUGUGAAGGAGUCCCCUUCCACACCCCUCAGUCCUCCUUGUCCCUCGUCACGGACAUGUCAGCCCUGGGAUGGGGCGCUCACCUCGGGGACAUCUGGACGCAAGGCCUAUGGGUCCUAUCCGAUCUCUGUCCAUAUCAACGUACGGGAGCUGAUGGCGGUGCGUCUUGCGUGCCAAGCCUUUCAGGAGCGAUUGCACGGUCGUUGUGUGGCGGUCCUCACAGACAACACCACGGCCAUGUUCUAUAUCAACAAGCAAGGGGGGGCUCGUUCCUGCCCCCUCUGUCAAGAGGCCAUUCAACUCUGGGAGUUCUGCAUAGCCCAUUCCAUUCACCUGCUGGUGUCGUUUCUCCCAGGGGUCAAGAACACGUUGGCGGACCACCUCAGCAGCUCCUUCCAGUCCCAUGA
rnacentral:lncRNA from 1 species